rnacentral:misc_RNA from 1 species
ACCCUUGACCACGGUAUAGUCAGCGACUGGGGUGAAGUCGUAACAAGGUAGCCGUAGGGGAACCUGCGGCUGGAUUACCUCCUUUCUAAGGAUGAAUGAAAGUAAAAUUUCAUUCUAAAUAAUAUACAUCGGUAAUGUUGACCGUCCUCAUUUCUCUUCUUAAAGUAAUGUUUCCUUCUUGUAGGGCCGGUAGCUCAGUUGGUUAGAGCACACCCUUGAUAAGGGUGGGGUCGAAAGUUCGAGUCUUUCUCGGCCCACCAUACUUAACUGGGGGAUUAGCUCAGCUGGGAGAGCGCCUGAUUUGCAUUCAGGAGGUCAGCGGUUCGAUCCCGCUAUCCUCCACCAGGAAACAUUUAGUUAUAAAAAUUGUAAAUAAAAAUAAUAAUUAAUAUCAAUAUCUAUAUCCGAACAUUAGUAAUGUUAUUAGCUAAUGUUCAAAAUAAAAAUUUGAUCACAACAUAGAUAAAUUUUCUGUUAAAAGAAUUUUUUUCUGUGCAUAAAUCAAGCGUUUAAGGGCGUGUAGUGGAUGCCUUGGCACUGAAAGCCGAUGAAGGACGUGAUAUACUGCGAUAAGUUUCGGGGAGCUGUAUGUAAGUUUUGAUCCGAAAAUU